GGGCCGGGAUGGCUACUUCGAAAAAACCUUUGCAGUUUACAGUCAAUUCAGUAUUUUGUAACAAAAUUACAACUUUCAACAAUGGAUCUCUUGGCUCUGGCAUCGAUGAAGAACGCAGCGAAAUGCGAUAAGUAGUGUGAAUUGCAGAAUUCAGCGAAUCAUCGAAUCUUUGAACGCACAUUGCGCCCUUCGGUUAUUCCUUAGGGCAUGCCUGUUCGAGCGUCAUUUCAACCUUCAAGCCUGGCUUGGUGUUGGGCGCUGUCCCGCCUCCGCGCGCGGACUCGCCCCAAAUGAAUUGGCAGUCGCACCCUCCGAGCCGCGAGCGCAGCACAAGUCGCGCGGGCGGAACCCCGGGGGGACGGACGCUCCACAAGACCCUUUCUCAGUCUUGACCUCGGAUCAGGUAGGGAUACCCGCUGAACUUAAGCAUAUCAAUAAGGCGGAGGAA
rnacentral:rRNA from 1 species